rnacentral:rRNA from 1 species
GACGAACGCUGGCGGCGUGCUUAACACAUGCAAGUCGAACGGAAAGGCCCUGCAUUUGGGGGGUGCUCGAGUGGCGAACGGGUGAGUAACACGUGAGUAACCUGCCCUUGACUUUGGGAUAACUUCAGGAAACUGGGGCUAAUACCGGAUAGGAGCUCCUGCUGCAUGGUGGGGGUUGGAAAGUUUCGGCGGUUGGGGAUGGACUCGCGGCUUAUCAGCUUGUUGGUGGGGUAGUGGCUUACCAAGGCUUUGACGGGUAGCCGGCCUGAGAGGGUGACCGGCCACAUUGGGACUGAGAUACGGCCCAGACUCCUACGGGAGGCAGCAGUGGGGAAUAGUGGACAAUGGGCGGAAGCCUGAUGCAGCAACGCCGCGUGCGGGAUUACGGCCUUCGGGUUGGAAACCGCUUUCGCCUGUGACGAAGCGUGAGUGACUGUAAUGGGUAAAGAAGCACCGGCUAACUACGU